CCAAUAGCGUAUAUUAAAGUUGUUGCAGUUAAAAAGCUCGUAGUUGAAUUUCGGGGUUCUAUCGUUGGUCGGGCUAUUGUCUGUACUGGCGUGUAGAAUUUCUACCUUCUGGGGAACUAUCAUGUUAUUUAUUUAGCGUGGUAGGAAACCAGGACCUUUACCUUGAAAAAAUUAGAGUGUUCAAAGCAGGCUUAUGUCUGAAUACAUUAGCAUGGAAUAAUAAAAUAGGACGGUGGUCCUGUUUUGUUGGUUUCUGAAUCACCGUAAUGAUUAAUAGGGAUAGUUGGGGGCAUUAGUAUUCAAUUGUCAGAGGUGAAAUUCUUGGAUUUAUUGAAGACUAACUACUGCGAAAGCAUUUGCCAAGGAUGUUUUCAUUAAUCAAGAACGAAAGUUAGGGGAUCGAAGACGAUCAGAUACCGUCGUAGUCUUAACCAUAAACUAUGCCGACUAGGGAUCGGACGAUGUUAACUUUUCUUGACUCGUUCGGCGCCUUACG
rnacentral:rRNA from 1 species